UUUACUUCAUAAAAAUUUCUUAAUAAAAAUUAUUUUAAAAAAUUUUGUUAAUUAAAAUCUAUAAUAAAAUUUUAUAAAAAAAAAAAAUUAUUUAACUAAAAAUUAAAAUAAAGAAAAAUUAUUUAUUUUUACCUUGUGUAUCAGGAUUUAUUAAAAAUAUUUUAUUAACAUAAAAUUUCUCGAAUUUAAAAAAUUUAAUUAAUUAAAUUUAUUAAUAUAAAAAUAUUAAAAAAAAUAAUUAAUUAGAAACAAAAAAUUAUUCAAUUUUAAAAAUAUCUAGUUAUUUAAUAAUUAAAUUUAAUUUAUAUAUAAUUUUUUAAAAAUAUACUUUUUUUAAUUAUAUAAAAAAUUUUAGGGAUAAACUUAAAAUUUAUUUUAUAAAUAUAAAAUAAUAAAAUUUAUAAUAUAAAAUUUAAAUUUCUUAUAUAAACAUAUAUUUAAUAAUUUAAUAAAUUCUACCUUUAAUUUAAAAUAUUUUAAAAAAUUAUUAAAUUAAAAUUAAAAAUUAUAUUUUAUUUAAAAUAAUGAUAAAAUUAGUAAUUAAAAUUUAAAAAAUAUUAAAAAUUAUUUAAAUUUAAAUUAAUGAACUCGGCAAAUUUUUAUUCACCUGUUUAUCAAAAACAUGUCUUAUUGAAAAUAAUUUUAAGUCAAAUCUGCUCAAUGAAUCAAUUUUAAAUAGCUGCAGUAUUUAUAACUGUACCAAGGUAGCAUAAUAAUUAGUUUAUUAAUUAUAAACUUGUAUGAAAGAUUUCAUGAAAUAAAAACUGUCUCAAUUUAAAAAAAAUAAAAUUUUUCUUUAAGUAAAAAAACUUAAAUAGUAUUAAAAGACGAGAAGACCCUAUAGAAUUUUAUAAAUAUAAUUUUAAAUUAAUUUAAAAAAAAAUUUAUUUAAUUGGGGAGAUUGUAAAAUUUAAUAAACUUUUAUAUAAAAAAUCAUUUAUUUAUGAAUAAAAUAUAUUACAUUAAAAAAGUAUAAUAAAUUACCUUAGGGAUAACAGCAUAAUUUUUUUUUUAAGUUCAAAUUAAUAAAAAAGUUUAUGACCUCGAUGUUGAAUUAAGAUACAAUUAAAAAGAAAAAAAAUUAAAUUUUAAGUCUGUUCGACUUUUAAAAUCUUACAUGAUUUGAGUUAAGAUCGGCGUAAGCCAGAUCGGAUUCUAUCUUUAAUCUAACUAAAUAUAAUUGUACGAAAGGAAUUUAUAUUUAAAAAAAUUUUAAUUAAUUAUAUUAACAACAUAAAUAUAUAUAUAUAUAUAUAUAUAUAUAUAUAUAUAUAUAUAUAUAUAUAUAUAUAUAUAUAUAUAUAUAUAUAUAUAUAUAUAUAUAUAUAUAUAUAUAUAUAUAUAUAUAUAUAUAUAUAUAUAUAUAUAUAUAUAUAUAUAUAUAUAUAUAAUAAA
rnacentral:rRNA from 1 species